AACGCACAUUGCGCCCGCCAGCACUCUGGCGGGCAUGCCUGUUCGAGCGUCAUUUCAACCAUCAAGCCCCAGGCUUGUGUUGGAGCCCUGCGGCUGCCGCAGCCUCCUAAAAGCAGUGGCGGGCUCGCUAUCACACCGAGUGCAGUAGAUUUCUCUUCGCUCAGGGCGUGUGGCGGGUUCCAGCCGUAAACCCCCUACUUUUUAAGGUUGACCUCGGAUCAGGUAGGAAUACCCGCUGAACUUAA
rnacentral:misc_RNA from 1 species